CUCAAUUGGAUUUGUGGGACAGAUAUUCCCGUGGACGGCCGUUUUGAAGACUAGCUGUGCCCUUUGGCGCAGUUUUGGCCCACUACUCCGCCCUGCCUCCACCCCCACCUUCCUCUACCGGCCCCGCGAGCCACCUGCGUGGUGCCUGCCGCCUUCCUGUUGUUCUCGCGCCAGGAGCACAUUGGGCCGCAUCUCGACCGAGUACAGCGAGUGCAACGGAAUCACGACGACGAGCGGAUACCCUUCAAGGAUGUGGGCGUGCGCAUCGCCCUAAACGUGUCGGUGGUGGAGCUGUGCAUCUUCUGAACUGACCAGAAGACCAAGUGCAUCUUCUCCUAUGUGCAGCGGAUCGUGGACUCGGGACUGAUUGGGCUGGACGGCAUCGCUGUUAACUGGCUGGGCAGCAACAACUACUGGUCCGAUGCGGAGUUUAUAUUCUGGAGCACCGGGGACAUUGAUCAAGACGGGCCAGAGCCGCAGCCUCGCCAAGGACGUGCCCUGCAUCACCCCAGCUACGACAGACUGCCCGAAUGUGCCGCUGCAGGUGUCCAGCAAGAAUAUCCGUGCCUAGCUUCCUGGGCGAACUCGCCGAAGCCUCGAAGCGUCUGCUCUUCUGGACAGAUGUCAGCAGCCAUCAGGCCAUCAUUCGGGCCCGAGUCGAUGGCAAUGAGCAUGUGGACCUGGAAGAAGUCACGACUCUGGCCUUAGACCAACAGUCCGAUAUACCAUGCGUAUCGAAGCUAUAGACAUCAAUGGAAAGAACAAAAAAACCUUUGCUACCAUGCAUAUCCCGCAGGUGAACAACAUUGCCGCCUAGGAGGGAUUUGUGUACUGGCUGUUGUGUUGUGACUAGACCGGACUGGAGAGGAUCACUGUCUACGGAGAGCGUCGUUCCGUAGAGCUGCAGCGUCUGUUUCAGUUAACCGACAUCCGGGCCGUGUGGACACCGGAUGCGAAAAUGCUGCGCAGUAGCCCAAAUUGUUUCCACAUCUGCAUAGCCAGCGGGGUGUGACACGCAGUACUCACGACGUCUGUUCGUGCCCCCAGAAAAUUUUAAGUGGCGGGAGUAGUGACAUGAACAACAACUGUAUAUCCGCCGCCUGGCGCUGUGAUGAAAGGACUGCCCGGCAGGUCUGUUCAGCCGAUGACAGCGACAAGAUGGCCGACUGUUGCAAGCGGCCAGAAGACUUUCAGUGUCCCAUCAACAAGACUUUAAAAAUGCAAUAGAGAUCCUGCCGGAUAUUGCAUUUGAGGUGCAAAGCGACCAAGCUGGAGGUGAAAAUGGAGCGAAAAGACUCUGGGUGUGCCAGGUUACCACUUAGCACAAUAAAAGCAAGGACUAAAAACUA
rnacentral:sRNA from 1 species